rnacentral:rRNA from 1 species
CCUACGGGGGGCAGCAGUGGGGAAUAUUGGACAAUGGGCGAAAGCCUGAUCCAGUCAUGCCGCGUGUGUGAAGAAGGCCUUCGGGUUGUAAAGCACUUUCAGUGGGGAAGAAAGCCUUGGGGCUAAUACCCUCGAGGAAGGACAUCACCCACAGAAGAAGCACCGGCUAACUCCGUGCCAGCAGCCGCGGUAAUACGGAGGGUGCGAGCGUUAAUCGGAAUUACUGGGCGUAAAGCGCGCGUAGGCGGUCUGAUAAGCCGGUUGUGAAAGCCCCGGGCUCAACCUGGGAACGGCAUCCGGAACUGUCAGGCUAGAGUGCAGGAGAGGAAGGUAGAAUUCCCGGUGUAGCGGUGAAAUGCGUAGAGAUCGGGAGGAAUACCAGUGGCGAAGGCGGCCUUCUGGACUGACACUGACGCUGAGGUGCGAAAGCGUGGGUAGCAAACAGGAUUAGAUACCCUGGUAGUC